CAGGUGCGCUUCACCAUUGGAAGCCUUUCCAACUUCAAUGCAAAUAUUUUCUUCUGCCAUUGUGUGAUCAGAAGGACUACUGAAGACGAACGAGAGAAUGUAAAAGCUUUAUGAGUCUUUGUGACAGUGGAGAGGGAUAAAAAGGGGCAGUCCAGACCAAGAGGGGGGAGAGAGAACGACACACGAAGUUGGCUGUGUGUGCGCCUGUGCUGAAAAGCCAUUAGUGUGUGCAUUGCAGUAAAAUAGUGUGCGAAAUAAAAACUAAAAACUUCUGCUUCCUCCUUGUCAAGAGAGUUAAGAACUUUGUCACACUGAUGCCGAAACCUGGGAAGGAGGAAGGAUACGCUGCUAUGGAGUCCUCGCCGCUGGAAGUAGUCUUCAGAACCCUCGCCGGCAUCCACCAGGCCCUCACAAAGCUGCAGAAGGAGCAGCAACAACACUUCGAGAUGCUCCUUCAGGCCCAACAGGUGGACUGGUGGGUCUUGCGGAGUUUGUUACCCCAGGAGGGGGCAUCUGCCGCGACCCUGGCAGCAGCAAACCCCCAUGUGAGGCUUGCUAAAAUUGGGGUUCAGGACGACCCAGAGGCCUACCUGGAGCUGUUUGUGCACACAGCCAAAGCCCUAAGAUGGCCACAGGUGCAAUGGGAUGUUCACCUCCUGCCGCUGCUCACCGGGGAAGCCCAGCUAGCGGCACAACUACUGCCGGUCGCCAGUCUCCUGGACUACCCCCAUCUGAAGAAAGCCAUCCUGCAACAGGUUGCCACAGUCCAGAAGAGCACUGCCAGCGGUUCCGCUCCCUGACGCUGAGCGAGGUUGGCCGCCUGUUCACUUCUGCACAACAGCUCCAUGACACCUGCCGGCGGUGGGUGCUGGCUGAGGAGAGCAAUGCGAUGACAUCAUCAACCUCAUGGUGCUGAAGCAGUUUGUCUCCCGGCUGCCGAAGGGGAGGGUGGAGUGGGUCCAGUGCCACUGUCCGGCGAUCCAAUUGGCUGAGGAACAUCUAGCGGCGUAUCCGGUGGCCGGCUGGUGAAUCCACUGCCCCUGUGUCGGCGUGAAGUCUGGGCCGGUCUGCUGGUGUUGCUGGGGUCCUGGGCAUUUCCAGGAUCGAUGCCCCAAGAGGGAGGUGGAGACAUUGGUCCAGGUCCCCGACACACCACGGGCCGCCCCCGAUCGAGUAGGAGUGUACUGGAUACCUGUGCGUAUAAAGGGGGGUACAUAUCAAGCCUUGGUGGAUUCUGGUUGUAAUCAAACCUCCCUUCACCAAAGCUUGAUUCAGUCCGAGGCUUUGGAUACAGGUAGGUGGGUGAAGGUGAGGUGUGUGCAUGGGGAUAUUCAUGAUUACCCUUUAGUGAUGGUCGUCAUUAAAUUUCGGGGACAAAAGCAUAUCUUCGAGGCUGCGGUUAGUCCCCGCUUCACUCAUCCACUAAUUUUGGGUACAAAUUGGCUGGCAUUUACUGCUUUAUUGAGGGAAAUUUGUGUGGAUGGGUCCUGUAACAAAGUGUCUCGGUGUGUUUCACUGGCUGGAGAGGCGGAGCCUGGGCCGUCUACAUCAGCUCUGCGUCAGAAUGACAUAAGGGAGGGGGAAGUCUCGGAAAAUGUUAUUCCAGAUGGAUCAUUAUAAUCCGAUGGCGGGUCACUAAACCGUCUAAUGGCUCAUUUCUAUUGGCCAAGUAUUCACGGGGAUGUUCGCAGAUGGUGUGCAGUAUGCCAUGAAUGUCAACUGGUGAAUCCACCUCCCACCCCAAGAGCACCUUUGCGUCUGCUUCCUAUGAUUGAGGUCCCCUUCGAAAGAAUUGCCAUGGACCUCGUCGGGCCAUUAGAGCAGAUGGCACAUGGGCAUCACUUUGUGUCGGUUCUGGUGGACUAUGCAACAUCCGGAAGCAGUGCCUCUGCGCAACAUCUCAGCACGUAGUGUUGCGGAGGCACUCUUAAGAAUCAUCUUCCGAGUGGGGAUUCCGAAAGCAAUCCUCACUGAUCAAGGCACUAAUUUCAUGUCACGUACACUACACGAGUUGUACAAAUUAUUGGGGAUUAAAUCGAUUUGGACAGGCGUGUACCACCCGCAAAUGGACAGCUUGGUCAAACGGUUUAAUCAGACCCUGUUUAUGUAAAGUACUUUAAAUUGCCAUUGUGUAUUAAAUGUGCUAUAUAAAUAAACUUGCAUUGCCUUGCCUAAUUAUUCAUGUGAUUUUCUAAUCAGCCAAUCAUGUGGCAGCAGUGCAAUGCAUACAAUGAUGCAGAUACGAGUCAGGAGCUUCAGUUAAUGUUCACAUUAACCAUCAGAAUGGAGAAAAAAUGUGAUGUCAGUGAUUUCGACCCUGGCAUGAUUGUUGGUGCCAGACGGGCUGGUUUGAGUAUUUCUGUAACUGCUGAUCUCCUGGGAUUUUCACACACAACAGUCUCUAGAGUUUACUCAGAAUGGUGCCAAAAACAAAAAAAACAUCCAGUGAGUGGAAGUUCUGCAGAUGAAAACACCUUAUUAAUGAGAGAGGUCAACGGAGAAUGGCCAGACUGGUUCGAGCUGACAGAAAGGCUACGGUAACUCAGAUAACCAUACAAAAACUCUGUACAAUUUUAGUGAGCAGAAUAGCAUUUCAGAAUGCACAACAUGUUGAACCUUGAGGCGGAUGGGCCACAACAGCUGAAUACCACGUCGGGCACUUUAUAGGACCAUAGUGUUCCUAAUAAAGUGCUCAGUGAGUGUAUAUGAAUUGUGCAGUUUGCCAUCUGUAAUUAAGCAACAGCACCUGUCACAGCAAUUGUAGAAUGACCCUCAUAUAACCAUUAUUAUUAUAUUUUAGUCUGUUAAAAUGUGCCAGAAUUAUAUGUUCGUGCAUGUCCGUGGACCGUUUUCAUCUUACAUAUGCUGCCAUUAGGUACCACACUAGCAAAACAGAUUGUACAGGGUAAAAUGACCUGAGAGUCACAUGGCCUAUUACAACAGUCAAAGGAAGAAAGCGCCACACAAUACAGCAGGUUUUCAUGUCAUGGGAAAGCAGGUCCUGGCACAGAAUUUGUGAAUUAAAGCAGCAGAAUGGCAUCGGUGGAGAACCAGAUACUGUACAUUUAUCUCUAAAACCUGGCAUCAUUCUUUUUGUUCUCCUGGACUAUUCCUCUGUAUAAAGGUACAAGAUAGGGGCAGUUGUGGCUCAACGGUUAAGGCUCUGGGUUACUGAUCAGAAGGUUGGGGGUUCAAGCCCCAGCACCACCAAGAUGCCACUGUUGGGCCCUUGAGCAAGGCCUUUGACCCUAUCUGCUCCAGGGGUGCCAUAUCAUGGCUGACCCUGCACUCUGACCCCAGCUUAGCUGGGAUAUGUGAAAAAAAGAAUUUCACUGUAUAUGUGAAAAUGUGUGAUAAAUAAAUACAAUUAUUAAUUAUUAUUAUUAUUAGAUAGCAACUGAGAGAACUACACUACAAAUGUAUGCCAAAGCAAAAAGGACUAAUUAUGUAUGGAGAUGUGGCAACAUGUUCCCUGGACAGCAUGUUUUGAAUGUUGUUGUGAAGACUAUAUGUGCUUAAGAAUGCAGUACAUCAUAGAAUCAUGUGAUUUUAAAUAGAGCAUUGUACUAUUCUAGUACUCAAAAGGUUCCAGUCAAUCAUAGGGUCUAAGUCAUGUUCAAAUGUAAACGAAACAUAAUGGCACCAUGACUCAUAAGGACAAUUUCAUUUUCUUCAAACAUAAAAAAUGAAAACACAAAAUGCUUGUGUUUGGUCUAAAAACAGACAAUGAAAAGCGAAAAAUAAGGUAACAUUCUGUAUUAUAUACUAGCAUAUAUUGUAUAUAUCCAUUUGAAUGAUGUCAAAUGGCGCUUCUGACUAAAGUUGUCUUAUUUGCUUGUCAAUUUGUUUGCAACUACAUUGUAAAAAAACCCA